GAGUAUCCUCUGGUGAAUUUAGAUGAACAAACAUCUGUUCUAUUUAAAAUGUUAUAUAAGGCCAAUACUUAAAAUACUGUUUCCCUUUUUAUAUAUUAAGAAAAAAGUGAACAUCAUGCAGAUUAGAGCUGACAGUCAAGCUGUGCAAAAGAAUGAGGCUACAGAAAACCGAGGAGAAUCACAGACUUCGUUCCUGGAACGACCUGUCCUCCAUCCUGUAUCACUUUUUCCGUGAUCCUUUUGUGUCACCGUUUUACACUUUCCUGCUCCUCCCCUCUGUUUCUUCAGUUUUGGGAAUUAUCUGCUGGGCUCUCUGGGUCCUCAGUUUUCCUUGCUCUAGUUUCUGGAGUUAAUCUAGGCAUUUUAAAAAUGGCUCAACAGAGUUCGAUCGGUAGGGGGAGCGGAGAGCGGACCCCAGAGAGCACUGAGCACCCCCACCGCCGCCGCAGGCCUAGUUACCAUCACACCCCGGGGGGAGCCGCAGCUGUCACAGCAGGCCCCACUCACCAUCACCGCAACCGUGAGCAGCGAGGCGGAGACCCAGCAGCCGCCCGCCGCCCCCGCCCUCAGCGCUGCAGACACCAAGCCCGACACCACGGGCAGUGGCACAGGGAGCGGCGGCGCCUGCCCGCGGGGACAAGAAGGUCAUCGCAACGAAGGUUUUGGGAACAGUCAAAUGGUUCAAUGUAAGAAACGGAUAUGGUUUCAUCAACAGGAAUGACACCAAGGAAGAUGUAUUUGUACACCAGGGUGCGGAGGCAGCAAAUGUUACAGGCCCUGGUGGACUUCCAGUGCAAGGCAGUAAAUAUGCAGCAGACCCUAACCGUUAGAGACGCUAUCCACGUUGCAGGGGUCCUCCAUGCAAUUACCAGCAGAAUUACCAGAAUAGUGAGAGUGGGGAAAAGAAUGAGGGAUCCGAGAGCGCUCCCGAAGGCCAGGCCCAACAGCACCGGCCCUACCGCAGGCGACGGUUCCCACCUUACUACAUGCGGAGACCCUAUGGGCGUCGACCACAGUAUUCCAACCCUCCUGUGCAAGGAGAUGAUGGAGGGUGCUGACAACCAGGGUGCAGGAGAACAAGGUAGACGAGUGAGGCAGAAUAUGUAUGGGGUUAUAGACCACGAUUCCGCAGGGGCCCUCCUCACCAAAGACAGGCUAGAGAGGAUGUCAAUGAAGAAGAUAAGGAAAAUCAAGGAGAUGAGACCCAAGGUCAGCAGCCACCUCAACGUCUGUACCGCCGCAAUUUCAAUUACAGACGCAGACGCCCAGAAAACCCUAAACCACAAGAUGGCAAAGAGACAAAAGCAGCCGAUCCACCAGCUGAGAAUUCGUCCACUCCCAAGGCUGAGCAGGGCGGGGCUGAGUAAAUGCCGGCUUACCAUCUCUACCAUCAUCCGGUUUAGUCAUCCAACAAGAAGAAAUGAAUAUGAAAUUCCAGCAAUAAGAAAUGAACAAAAGAUUGGAGCUGAAGACCUUAAGUGCUUGCUUUUGGCCUGUUGAUCAGAUAACUAGAACUAUCUGCAUUAUCUAUGCAGCAUGGGGUUUUUAGUAUUUUUACCUAAAGAUGUCUCCUUUUGGUAAUGACAAACGUGAUUUAAAAAAAAAAAAAAUGCCUGGUUUCUCUCAAUACACCUUUAAAGGUUUUUAAAUUGUUUCAUAUCUGGUCAAGUUGAGAUUUUUAAGAACCUCAUUUUUAAUUUGUAAUAAAAGUUUACAACUUGAUUUUUUCA
rnacentral:lncRNA from 1 species